AACGCACAUUGCGCCCCUUGGUAUUCCGGGGGGCAUGCCUGUUCGAGCGUCAUUUCAACCCUCAAGCAUAGCUUGGUCUUGGGCUCUGCCGGUCACGGCUGGCCUUAAAAUCAGUGGCGGUGCCGUCGAGCUCUACGCGUAGUAACUAAAUCGUCGCGUGUGAUUCUCGGUGGAUGCUUGCCAAACAACCUCUAAUUUCUAUGGUUGACCUCGGAUCAGGUAGGGAUACCCGCUGAACUUAA
rnacentral:misc_RNA from 1 species